GAUGAACGCUAGCGGCAGGCCUAAUACAUGCAAGUCGAGGGGCAGCGGGAGUAGCAAUACUUGCCGGCGACCGGCGCACGGGUGCGUAACACGUAUACAAUCUACCUUUAACAGGGGGAUAGCCCGGAGAAAUCCGGAUUAAUACCCCAUAACAAAUUGAAUGGCAUCAUUUGAUUUUGAAAGCUUCGGUGGUUAGAGAUGAGUAUGCGCCUGAUUAGUUAGUUGGUGAGGAACGGCUCACCAAGACUACGAUCAGUAGGGGAUCUGAGAGGAUUAACCCCCACACGGAUACUGAGACACGGAUCCGACUCCUACGGGAGGCAGCAGUAAGGAAUAUUGGACAAUGCCCGCAAGGGUGAUCCAGCCAUGCCGCGUGCAGGAAGA
rnacentral:rRNA from 1 species